rnacentral:misc_RNA from 1 species
GUGAAUCAUCAAAUCUUUGAACGCAAAUUGCACUUUCUGGUAUUCCGGAAAGUAUGCCUGUUUGAGGGUCAGUUAAAUAAAAAUCGGUGUUGUGGCGGCCUUUCGUUGUUUCUCGCCGGCAUUGGGGCGUCUUACCUUCGGUUAAGUGACUUAAAAUUUUUGCAGGAUUUUCGAACGUAUUU